CAAAAAACAAAACACUUGAGUCUAUUCCUUUUUCCUUGACUUGAGAUAUUUGCAAGCUUGUUCCAUAAUCUGUUAAAGAAUUUAAAGUAUUUCUGCAUCUCUUUCAAAGAAAUGUAAGUAUUAUGUUGCAGAUUCAUUCUCUUACUUUUCAGAGGACUAGUAUCAAGAAGAAAGGGUGCACUAAGUGCAUUGUUUUCUCUAGAUGAAGGGACCCUAAAGCCAGGACCUGAUUGAAACACCGUAGGGAUUUAAUCAAAUCUGAUGGUGAUUCAUGCUUCUAAUGGCCAAAACUGUCCUUAACUACUUUACAAACUGAGGGGAAUAAAACCCCGUUUUAUUGCUUGGCCGUUAAAAACUAUUUGUAGAAGUUGCUAAGGUUCAAAUCAAAAGCACCCUCCCUUGAGAACCAUUAGUUAAUUCAAAGUGCCAUGGUGUUGCUUUUUUUCUUCUCCCCUCGCUUGAGAUGUGGCCUUAUAUCACUAUUGCUGUUCAAACAUCUGAGAGUUUUCCAUUCCUUUGACAAACAUGAGCCAAAGUGCUUAAGGACAUCUGUUUAUUUUAUUUCUUUAAUGAGAAAACCUUCCAAUUUCUUACAGGCUCAGCUGUGUUUAUUUACAUUUUGUUAGUCAUAUGUGUGGGGCACCUUGGGAUGUUAAAAACCUGCAGAGGCCUAUGUAGAGGGCUGCUAGCAGGCAUCCUGGUCAGAAAGGCAGAAUGAGCCCUUCCUAAGGAAAACACAGUCCUUGGAACUCCAUAAAAUAGAUUUUCAAAACAAACAGAGCCUAAUUCACUCAGUAGAUCAUGGAUUAAGUCAAGAUGAAUACAAUUUGGAAAGGAUUUUCUGAGGAAGUUGGAGAUUUUUUUACCCACUGGAGGCUAAACCUUGUAUUUAAUGCCUUUUUAAGUUAAAUUAAAAAAGCGUUCAAUCACUGCAGGUAAUAAAAAAGUCUGUUACUUUAGACAUGCUGCUACAUCAAUUAUUAGUUCAUUAUUGGAGAGAAGGGAGUAAAUAAUUCCAGCUAUUUGAUUAUUUCAAAUGUGUAUUUCGGGAGCAAACAUCUGUGUUUAUCAUCUGUACUGGCUCGAGCGGCAGCAGAAACAGCAAAACCAGACCCACAACAGCUUCGAUGCUGGGCACGGGAGAUGCUCUGAGCUCAUGUAGAUGUAACCUCUUGUACUAGAGCUUAGGUGAACUGAGGGCUUUAUAAGCAAAGUGCAUGUGUGGCAUUUGGAAGUAUUAAAGGAUUAUUUCUGACAUAAAAUACAUGUCAGGAACAAUGCUGGAUUGUCUAACGAGCAUGAGUAAAGGGAACCUGCUUUCCCGUGUUGCUGAAUUAUGACUUGAUUUUUAAGGGAAAGGUAGUAUAAAAAAGGAACGUAACUCGCAUUAGGAAGUUGCAUGUACAACAUGUGUAGUUGUGCUGAGGUUUACACGCCAUGAUGUGUUUCCACCAAGCUUUCCAGGAGUUUUGUAUUUUUCACAGAGCUAUCAAGGGCUUGUGUAGAAAUAUGGUGAUUUUCCUGUGAGUAGGGCAAGGGGGUUAAAACAUGUAUUUGUUUUAAAGCCACUCCUUUUUUGACAUUUAUGCCCUGUAUGGUAAAAAGAAAUUAUUUGUAGACUUUUGGUCGUGAACCUUUCGUGUUACUGUUGUGGUUUAACAGUGAUAGGCAGCUAAGUACCACACAGCCACUCUCACCCCCUCCUUAGCAGCUGCUGUGGGGAAGGUUAACUCCAUCCCAGCCAGACCCAGUACAAUUCCUAAAAAUAACUUCCAUUUGUUCUCAAGCAUUAUGGCCCAGCUUUUAAAAUGUAUUUAGGUACUGUAUUCCCACAGGCCUGGAAUCCACCCAUGGGUUCAGGCACUGUAUAAAUUAGUUAUUCCUGCUUGUCCCUAAGCAUAGCUCAUUUGGAGAGGGAGGAGAGCCUUUUCAACCUCUGUCUGCUUCUCGAAUGUGAGGAUUUAAUUACUGACACAUCCAUUUGCUUAUUGCAGUGAUUUCCAAGGUGUAGUCCCCAACCACUUCUGAACAGAUCCAUGCCAGUGAGUUACAGUCCUUCAGUAAAUAGUAAGCAGUACUGUGGAAGUACCUCCCAAAUCACAGCAAUGGUGAAUAAGAAAAGGUAUCUGAAUAAAUGCGAUUAAGUGAUACUUGCUCUCUGUCUAGCUUGGACAUGCCAUGAGGUUACACUGCCAAUGACUGUAGAGACAUCAUUUAAAUUCAGUAGAUUGUCUAACAAACCUGGAUAGGUUAAUGUUUAGGUAAAACCAUAUGUCUUCAUUUUGGCGGCCAAAAAGUUUAGAGCCUGGAAAUGAGAAAACUGGGUGAUGCUAUUUGAAAAACGACAAUUCUUUGUCAAAAGAAAUGUAGUCACUUCAAAAAAUGGGUUUGAGCUCCUGAGCUACUUGGGUACUUAAAACAAAUGGUCUCACAAAUAGCCACUCUCUCAAUUGAAAAGCUCUGAGAAGCUGGGUCUAACAGUUACCUGGUUCUAUGAAAAAAAGAUAAAACUAAGGUAGUUAAAUCUAGUAAAAGAGCUAAAUGUGUUUUCACCCUCCAAGAGGGUGAUGAGGGAACACAGGGACACACAGGGACACCACAAGGACACACGGGGACAGAUGGGGACACAGGACACAAAGGGACGUGGGCAGCCCUAUACUAGGCAGGCAGCACGGCCAUGGGGCCAGGCACAGCAGCUGCCCCCCUCGACUUACUUGAACUAGAACUGAUGCACAAGGUUAAUUUUCCAUUUUUAUGGGAAAGCCUGGUUAAUGUCUCAAAUUCAGAUCAAGGUAUAAAAUGUUACAACCAAAGAAUGAUUAUUCUGACAGGCUCUCUUUGUUCAAACAUGUGGCCCAGGCGUUUGUGUCUUUGCUUUUUUUUAUUAUUUUUAUACUGCAACCAAACCGGUCCAUUUUUCAGGAGUUUCCAAGUAAUUAAACCCAAUUAAAACUAUUAAAUUCUUUCUCUUGGUGACAACUUCAUUAUUAACAGCUAACCACAAGGAAGAGAUUUAACUUAGGAAGCCCUUGAUUGUAUACUAAUCCGUCUCUCACCUCUGGCUGACACCUGUGGCAGAUAAACCCUACAGAAUAGAAGUCUGAUGAAUAACCUUAAUUAAUACUUUCUUCCUUGUAGAAAAGUAAUUAUUUGCUCAUGGCAUAAACAGGUAUUUGACAGGGAUUUAAAGACAGUGAUUGGUUUUAAGUAGAAGGGCUUUAUUUUUUUUUAUUUAUUUUUUUAAGCGGGGGGGUAGGGAGGUCUGAGUCCAAGAUUCACGCUCCGAGUGACUUUGUCCUAGCAUUUUGAAUGUCGGGUUAAUUGGCACAUUGCUAAAUAGAAGCAGAAUCAGACAACAAGCUGAUUUGUUAUCUGUCUCAAAGGAGCCAGCUUUGCCCCUUUGCUAAUGGCCUGCAUGUCUGAACAGGGUACCUGUAAGGCAGAGGAUUGGAACUGGCUGAUUUGGAGCCAGGAUUGGGUUGAGAGUGACUUGCACUUGAGAGAUUGCCAGAGAUAAGUCUGCUUCUUGCUUCCUUUCAAAAUUACGCUAUACGAGAGGGGCAAGCUGGCUGUGGACAUCCAGCCAAGUGGAUUAGUAGUAACUGCAGGUGUUAACAAACACAUGUCUUUUUAAUGCAUUCUUUAGGGCAAGUAUAAGCAGUUUGUGAAAAAUCCAGCUCAGUGUUUCAGGAGCAGUGGUAAGAAGGCCAUUUGGGAGGAUACUGACAGUGCAGUUUGAAGUGUGGCUGCAUCCACCAUGGACUUUUUUGCAGGUAAUGCUACCUUUAGUAGUGAAAAUACAGCAACACAGGCAUCUGCAUAGGUGAGCCUGCCUUUUGAGCAAGGCCAGACUGAAGGCUGCUCAUCAAGCUCCUUCUAGCCACCUUCUGUCAUCCUAUUAUUCAUAGUGAGAAAAAUGAAACAGAAACAGAAUGAAUUUUAGGAAGGAUAUUUUUAGCUUGUACGACAUAAGUGAAUUAAAAUUGUGAUUUUAAACUGUAACGCAAUUCACAUCUGCAGAACUAAUUCAAAGAGGAGCAGUGCAUACAACUAGCCAGCACAAAAGCAGUAUUCAGAGCACAUGUGUCAGCUCAUGCUUUUGGGAUCAGAAAGAAAACAUUUACCUCGGUGAAUGGACACUUUUGCCUUCCCCCGCAGAGUGUUUCACAGGCUUCUCUUUUCUGUGUUUUCCUCUAGUAGGGCUAUCUGUUGAAAGGGCAGCAAAGCUGCCCCCAAACAAGCAGUUACAGAUCUGGGAGUUGGCAGUGCCUCGCUUCUAGUGAAAAUUAUCUCGUUCACAGCGUUGUCAGCAGUAGGCAACAGCACAUCAGUCCCUCCUCUUAGCUAGAAGUCACAUCCUGUGAUAGACACAAUAGGGAGACAUGUCCGGGAAUACUCUUUAGGAUCAAUAUACUUGGUCCAAAUGUGUUUUUGUUGUUGUUGUUGUUGUUUUUUAAAAAAGAGCUUAUUUUCCUCUUUUUAUGUUUUAAUACUUUGUGAAAAAGUGGAGGGGAAUGGGGCAUUUUUACGUCUCAGUUCUCUCAGGAUGUACACUGAGCAGAAAUGAGCAGCUGUGAAACACUACUACUGGGUAAAUGUGGAAGUGAAGGUGCGGCAGUUAGGGGGAAUAUCAAGCUCUUUGGGAAUGAGUACUUCAAAAUGAGCACCACUGCUGUGAUGCUUAUCCCAUCCAGCUGACGGGAAGGAGCCCGUUAAGGCUGUGUUGAUCAGUCAUGAGCUGAGCUCUGUUGGGGUGCCUGGUUUGUCGUGUAAUUUUUGGGGCUGUUUAAUGUUAACCCUGGAGAAAGCUCCAACAAUGUGCCAUGCAGAGGUGAGGCACACAGAAAUGCACUGUGGUGCUGGAGGUUUUAUUUAUAGGAGUUCGUUGCCUGUUUUCUAUCCCUGCCUCUCAUUGUCCUUGUUUGUAAAAGCAUGACUUGUAGAUUAGCAGAGGGGUAGGACCUCACGCUUCUAAUGUUACUGAACAAGCGCUCAGGGUCGAGGUUUUAGGUGAAUCUGUUUUCACUGUAAAAAAAGUGGUUCCUGGAGGAGAUAUGAUUUCAAGCUGACCACAGCCCUUUUGUUUUUGGACUUCACAUGCAUCAGAAAACAUUGGGUAGAUCUGUUACUGAGGAAGCUGGUUCCUAGGGCUCCAGGGUGCACUUUUCCUAUGGUAAGACAUGUUGGCAGGGGUCAUCAUUAUGGAUGCAGCAACUUUACAUUGCUCUGCUAAACUCACACUGCUCUAACAUAGGCAUUAGCAGUCCACUAGGGCAUCGCCUGCAGCACAGCCUUAUCCUUUAGUCCUUCUGGACUUCAACACUUAGGAAGACCUCUCCAUUAACAUCUUUAGGAAAAAAAAAAUCAUAAUUCUCUUUCCAGUUCUUUAUACAGUAUACAGAGAAUUCUGACAACACAUUGAUAUACCUGUGUCAUUUUUGUGCUUGCCCAUCAGUCUUUUUCUCCUGUUUAUUCAUACUUGAAUUGCAAGCUGUAGGUAGGGACUGUGUUUUUCCUCUGUGUGGGUACAACUAGCACAGUGGGGUUCAAGUCUGGGACUAGUGCUUCUAGAUCAGUGCAACAGUAAUGCAAAUAAAUAAUUGCUAGUAGAACCCUGGCCUAGUGCCUCUAGACACCUACAUCAUACUGGGAGCACUGAUUUGCCUUUUAACUUUAUCAGCUUAAGACUUGGAAGCAUGCCUUGUUGCAGAGGAAAUAUCCAUACUGUGAAAGCACUGAUGCCAAAUCAUUUCCCCAAACGACUUCCCCUCUGGGUGGUAAAGUGCAUUUUUCUGUUUUAUUUUCAUUCCAUCAUAUUCUCUAUCUCAAGAGAAAGAUUUUUUUUUCCUCUCAUCUACAGUUUAAUUUCCAUAUUGUUUAGUUUAAGAGAAGGUAACUUCAUACACUGUGGAAAUGUUUCUUACUCCCUGUUAGUGAUUAAUACCAAUAAAUCUAAAGACAAAACUUAGAGAAUAAAUGACAGAUACCAAUGAAUGAGACUUCCUAAAAGAGGUUUAAAGGCUAAUGAUCCUUGAAAUGUAUAAAAAUAAAUUGCUUCAUUAAAAACUAUUUUACAAAAUCAUUUCUUCCUAGCAGCAUAUUUUCUUCAAAACAGUUCCCUCGUGUAAUUACACCUGGGUAGUAAAAUUUGAUUCAGUGCUGUUCACAUGGGGCCACGGUCAGAUGCCCUAAUUGCGCCUGUGUCCCUGCCCCUCAUCAGGGGAGCAGGUUUGGGGCUUAAAGGUAGACAUGUUCAAGGCAAGCCUGGUGGAGUUUACUUUUUGCCCAGAGGAGAAAGUGCCCUUCUUCCAGGGACAGCAAUAAGCACGUUUAAACAUGAGUAACUGAGCUUUUCUUUGGAUGGGCACAGUGCUUGUGAGUCACACACAUGGCUGAAACCACAGCCAUUCUACUCUAAUUAAAGAGAACUACACCAAGAAUGCGUAAUAAUUAGGUUAGCGUGUAAUACACCAUCCAUGUCAACAGCAUCUGCCGCAAAGGUUGAUUGAAAUGUACUCAUCCUCCAAACAUUGUGCUCCCUGUUAGAGUUCCUCAGCUAAUUCAUUACCGUCCUGUCAUAUAAUAACAUGACUCCACAGAAAUCUGCAGAAAAUUAGAGCAAAGACUACAUAUAAAUCUGACAUUUUAGCAUGGCUUGUAACGUUAGCAGAGGAAAACCACCCACAUAAAUGUAAAGAUGAGAGAUCCCUCUCCUAAUGAAGAUGAAUUACAAAUAAAAGCCUGUUGUGGGAAUGCUCUUUUUUCAAGUUCUGUUGUUGUUUAGUUUGAACAGGCAGAAUGCUUUUGAGCUUGUUUAUCGAAUUAACUGUAAAUUAUUUUUACUUGCAUUUUUGAAGAAGAAUAUAUCUGAAUGAAUAAUAAAUUUUUCUGCUAGAGACGUAGUCUGCCUCAGAACAUGUCUGUGCUUUUGUUGUGAGUUUAGGAACAAGGUCAGUUGUUUGAGGAAGAGGACGUGGAAAAGUGGCUGAGGCUUAUUUAAUACUGUAGUGCACCAGGCUGGGUACAGCAUGUCACUUGGUUGUAUUUCAGCGCAUCAGAUCCCUGGGGCUGUACCCAGUGCCUAGGAAGCAGCUUUGAAGCAGUACGCCAAGAGCUGUAGGAGCCCAGUGGCCCCUGUACCCAUCCACAGGGGCAGCACGAGGGACCAAGUGGAUUUGCUGCACACAUGCAGUCAGCCAUUAACAGUCAUUUCUACAUGGGAUUGUCCGCAAGUGGCUUUCCUGGCCAAACAGUCAGCCCGGCUGCUUUGGUCUGAUUGAAGCUUGCGCUUGCGACUUAGCGGGGAAAUGAAGUGGUGACCCCCUCACGGGCAGUUGUGGUGUCUUAGCUGGGUAGCAAGGAACAGGGAAAAAAAUCAUUUUCUAAAGUAAAUCAACUAAACACACAGGAGGUCCAUAUUGCUUGGGACAUCCUGGUUAGAGCUGCAGGCAGUGCAAUCCUGCACAGGAGUGUACUUGUUUUGUCACUGAUUUUGGUAGGAGCAGGAGCAGGAUGUUAGAAACUUCACAGGUGCUUAAAGUGUAUAGGAGCUGUUUUAGAGCUGCUGGCAUGUGUGUUUUCAUGUUCUUUUAUUCAUGAAAAAGUAUGUUUUCAUAAUUCUGUACGCAGACAGAGUUUCUGCAUCAUUUUCUUGCUGUUCCCUUUAAGGAAGCAGUUUGGGACCCUGUCUGGGGUCAAGUUAGGGCCAAGUUGGACCCAGACCUGGAUGAACUGCUGAUACAAGAAAAUUGCAGAACAAGCAAAGGGUGAAGCAGUCAGUCCAUGCAGGCAGGAGCAUCAAGUGCAUGUCACCAUUUCUAACAGCAGCUCAAAUGGCAUAUGGACUGAUCCAACAUUUUGAUGAGCUAUCUUGUUUUGUCUUUAUUUUAUAAAUUGAUGUAGCUAUUUGGGUGUAACUGCCAGUACGACAUCUCUGGCUCUGCAAGUAAGCUUUAUGCCACUGCAGAGCAUGUCCUGUCCUGAGCAAGAAUAGUCAGACUUGGACAAGCAUUUUAUCCUGCUAUAAUUGGAUUUGCAUGGGAGGAUGGGAUUGUUUUAACUCUGCUGGUACUGUUAAAUAAGUGGACACCUUCAGCAGAGAUGGAAGAGCUUUGCACCAGCGUGGCUGCUCUUGCAUCUCCAUGUGCACUUGUGCUACCAAGGCCAGUAGAUACUGUGCCACAGUGGGCUCUGAUGUGGGAACGACACGUCUGUCUUUCUGCCCUGCUCUGUGCUCAUCACCCAAGUUAGCAUGGUAGUAAAGACCUAACCCAAGCAUGCCGAGAUGCAGAUUGCACGCUUUAGAGAAAGAUAGUUUAUGUUUGAACUCGUGGGCUCUGUUUUCAGAUUCUGCUCAUCGUGUUGCUGCUUGACAUUAAAAGUCUACUUUCAUGUGUAAAGAAUAAUGCUGGCCUCUUACGGCUGAUUCAAAGGACAGAGUCUGGAAAGAAUCACCCUCUGUGGGCUCUGUUGUUCAUAACUGUCCCUUAGCUGCUCUGUACUGAUGCUAUUGGAAAUUACUUCUUGGUCCAACCUACUGAAGCAAUUCUUAUACAGCCUCAGGUGUUUAAAUGUUCUUGUUAAACUCAUCUGAAGGUACAGGCUGAAAUGCAUAAGGUGAGCCAUAUCCAUCCUUCAGAGAACAGAAACUGAUUAUCUAGUAGAGAAAAAAGAAAAAAAAAAGGGAUGGGAAAAUCAUGCUAAGAUACACUUGGGAAAUUAAAUGACUUUAAUGACCGUAUCUUCAGAAAAAGGAAUGUGUAGAUCCUGUGUCUAAGACCUCCCACCCCC